GACGAACGCUGGCGGCGUGCCUAAUACAUGCAAGUCGAACGAGAGCGCCCGGUGCUUGCACUGGUCAAUCUAGUGGAACGGGUGAGUAACACGUGGGUAACCUGCCCAUCAGAGGGGGAUAACAUCCGGAAACGGAUGCUAAAACCGCAUAGGUCUUCGAGCCGCAUGGCUUGAAGAGGAAAAGAGGCGCAAGCUUCUGCUGAUGGAUGGACCCGCGGUGCAUUAGCUAGUUGGUGAGGUAACGGCUCACCAAGGCCGUGAUGCAUAGCCGACCUGAGAGGGUGAUCGGCCACAUUGGGACUGAGACACGGCCCAAACUCCUACGGGAGGCAGCAGUAGGGAAUCUUCCGCAAUGGACGCAAGUCUGACGGAGCAACGCCGCGUGAGUGAAGAAGGUUUUCGGAUCGUAAAACUCUGUUGUUAGAGAAGAACAAGUGCUAGAGUAACUGUUAGCGCCUUGACGGUAUCUAACCAGAAAGCCACGGCUAACUACGUG
rnacentral:rRNA from 1 species